rnacentral:rRNA from 1 species
AGGGUAUGAUACUGGCUCAGAACGAACGCUGGCAGCGUGCCUCACACAUGCAAGUCGAGCGAAAAACUCCGCUUCGGCGGGGGAGUAAAGCGGCAGAAGGGUGAGUAACACGUGGGUCAACUGCCUCCGGGAGCGGGAUAACGGCGGUCCGCCUUGUGCGGACCCUUCGGCGAAAGCGCCGCUAAUACCGCAUGACGAUGCGACGGCACUUCCUUACUCGUAAGCAGGUAGCCGUUGCGUUCAAAUGGUCGUUGGGAUUCGUCCCUUCGUCUGCCCGGAGAGGUGCCCGCGUCCUAUCAGCUAGUUGGCGGGGUAAUGGCCCACCAAGGCAACGACGGGUAGCCGGCGUGAGAGCGUGGCCGGCCACACUGGGACUGAGACACUGCCCAGAGCCCUACGGGGCGCUGCAGUGGGGAAUAUUGCACAAUGGGCGCAAGCCUGAUGCAGCGACGCUGCGUGGGGGAAGAAGGCCUUCGGGUUGUAAACUCCUGUCAGGGGUUAAGAAGUCCGUGCCCGGAAACGGGUACGGUUGACAAAGGCCCCAUGAAGCCAUGGCUAAGUCCGUGCCAGCAGCCGCGGUAACACGGACAUGGCGAGCGGUGUUCGGAAUUACUGGGCGUAAAGCGCGCGUAGGCGGUCGGGCAAGUUGGGUGUGGAAUCGUCCGGCUCAACCGGGCGGGGUCGCCCAAAACUGCCCGACUGGAGCACGGUAGGGGAGAGUGGAACUCCUGGUGGAGCGGUGAUAUGCGUAGAUAUCAGGAGGAACGCCGGCGGCGAAAGCGACUCUCUGGGCCGUUGCUGACGCUGAGGUGCGAAAGUCAGGGGAGCAAACGGGAUUAGAUACCCCGGUAGUCCUGACCGUAAACGAUGGGCACUUGGUAGUGGGGGUUAAACUUCACUGCCGGAGCUAACGCGUUAAGUGCCCCGCCUGGGUAGUACGGCCGCAAGGCUAAAACUCAAAGUAAUUGACGGGCCCUCGCACAAGCGGUGGAGCACGCGCCUUAAUUCGAGACAACGCGAGGAACCUUACCAGGGCUUGACAUGCAAGUGGUACGGACCUGAAAGGGCGAGGACCCAGGGUUAGCCUGGGAGCUUGCACAGGUGCUGCAUGGCUGUCGUCAGCUCGUGUCAUGAGAUGUUGGGUUAAGUCCCAUAACGAGCGAAACCCCUGUCCAUAGUUGCUAGCGGGUAAUGCCGAGGACUCUAUGGAGACUGCCGGCGUCAAACCGGAGGAAGGCGGGGAUGACGUCAAGUCCUCAUGGCCCUUACGCCCUGGGCUGGACGCAUGCUACAAUGGCCGGUACAAAGGGAAGCGAAACCGCAAGGUGGAGCGAAGCUCUAAAAGCCGGUCCCAGUUCGGAUCGGGGGCUGCAAUUCGCCCCCGUGAAUGUAGGAAUCGCUAGUAAUCGCGGAUCAGCCACGCCGCGGUGAAUACGUGCCCGAGGGUUGUACACACCGCCCGUCAAAUCAUGGGAGCUGGGGGCACGCGAAGUCGUGGACCUAACCCGCCUUCGGGUGGGAGGGUCGCGCCCACCGUGAAACCGGCAACUGGGAUUAAGUCGUAACAAGGUA